AUCGUUAUCGUUUAUUUGAUAGUACCUUACUACAUGGAUAACCGUGGUAAUUCUAGAGCUAAUACAUGCUAAAAACCUCGACUUCGGAAGGGGUGUAUUUAUUAGAUAAAAAACCAAUGCCCUUCGGGGCUCCUUGGUGAAUCAUAAUAACUUAACGAAUCGCAUGGCCUUGCGCCGGCGAUGGUUCAUUCAAAUUUCUGCCCUAUCAACUUUCGAUGGUAGGAUAGUGGCCUACCAUGGUAUCAACGGGUAACGGGGAAUUAGGGUUCGACUCCGGAGAGGGAGCCUGAGAAACGGCUACCACAUCCAAGGAAGGCAGCAGGCGCGCAAAUUACCCAAUCCCGACACGGGGAGGUAGUGACAAUAAAUACUGAUACAGGGCUCUUUUGGGUCUUGUAAUUGGAAUGAGUACAAUUUAAAUCCCUUAACGAGGAACAAUUGGAGGGCAAGUCUGGUGCCAGCAGCCGCGGUAAUUCCAGCUCCAAUAGCGUAUAUUAAAGUUGUUGCAGUUAAAAAGCUCGUAGUUGAACCUUGGGCCUGGCUGGCCGGUCCGCCUCACCGCGUGUACUGGUCCGGCCGGGCCUUUCCUUCUGGGGAACCUCAUGCCCUUCACUGGGCGUGUUGGGGAACCAGGACUUUUACUUUGAAAAAAUUAGAGUGUUCAAAGCAGGCCUUUGCUCGAAUACAUUAGCAUGGAAUAAUAGAAUAGGACGUGUGGUUCUAUUUUGUUGGUUUCUAGGACCGCCGUAAUGAUUAAUAGGGAUAGUCGGGGGCAUCAGUAUUCAAUCGUCAGAGGUGAAAUUCUUGGAUUGAUUGAAGACUAACUACUGCGAAAGCAUUUGCCAAGGAUGUUUUCAUUA
rnacentral:rRNA from 1 species